UGCUUGCCUUUCUGUUUUGGUUAGCAUCUCAUCUCGGCUUCUCAGUUUUUUGGUCUUUUGUUUUUCGAUGUUGACGUCGAUGUCGCAGGACUCUUCCGCUACUUUGACUGCUUAGAUUAAGGACAUGGCAGGAGGAGGACAUCAAGGGCAUUAGCAUGUGAUAUGUGUGUGUCUGCAAGUUCUUGGAUUUUUCGGUGUAUUUCAAAUCUGUAUAUAAAUGGCUUUCUAUCUGCCGAGGCGAGUGCCAAAGUUUAUGGAACUUGGCCAAAGAUGUUGCCAGUUUAAGUUGAAGUUUCCUAAUUAGCCGGCAAAGCGAUAUCAAAGGAGUUAGAGGCUUUUGCGGCAAUUCAGGCGUUCCCUCUAUUCGUCAACUGUUGCUUUCGCCUCAACGGCGGCAGCCAUAA
rnacentral:sRNA from 1 species